AGCUUUUCCAAGCAUGAUGAGCCUCUCCUGGGACAGGUCCCUCCCGAAAAUAUGUCCAAGGCACGUGAGACGAAGUCUUGCCAUCCUUGCUUCUAAGACCAGCUUCUCAGAUUAUUUGCUCAGCAUACAGAUUGACUUCAACUUGAACGUGAAUAUGAGCAACUGAUCAUCUGUUCUGCAGUCAGCCCCUGGCCUGAUUCUGACUCAUGAUAUUGACCUUCUCCAUCAUCACCUUCCACAAAUUUGAUUCCUGUCUAUUCUGCCUGGAAUGGUUCACGAGUAUAGUCACCGUUUAUGUUCCUGAUGAAAGGUAUGUGCAAUGAAUAAGUCGUUGGUCUUGCCAAAUUCUAUCAUGUAAGCUUCAGUGUCAUUUCUAUCAUCAAUACCUUAUUUUCCAACUGCUGAUUUGUCUGCUUUGUUUUCAACUUCGCAUUCCAAUCACGUAAUUAUCAGUACAUCUUGAUUCAUCAAUGCAUCAUGUUUGAUCAGUUUCAAACUGCAGAACUUGGUAAAAACCUUCAACUUCUUCAUCUUUCACAUUCAUGAUUCAUGUGUAAAUUUGAAUAAUAGUCUUAUUAACUGGUCUUCCUGGUAGGCCUGUGGAUAUUAUCCUAUUGCUCGUAGUGUUGUACUUCAGAACGGAUCUUGAAAUGUUCUUUUUAUCGAUGAAUAUGAUGCCGUUCUCUUCAGUAUCUCAAUCCUGGUAUAGUAGAACAUACCAUUGUCUAGUUUAAAAUGUCCAAAACCAAGCUAUUUCAGCUCACUAAUGCCUUGGAUUACUGACCUUUAUGCAUUCCAUUUCAUUUUUGAUGACUUCCAAUUACCCUAGAUUCAUAAUUCCUUCAUUCCACGUUCUGGUUAUUAAUGGAUAUUUGUGUCAGUUUCUUCUCAUUAUGAGUUGUGCCCCAUCAGGAAAUGUCAUUAAAGUGGGAUCUACUUUGAGGAGGUAGCUCUUCCCCACUCGUAUUUUGAGUGCCUUCCAACCUAAGGGGUUAUCCUCUGUCAUUCAAUCAGACAGUGUUCCAGUACUAUUCGUAAGAUUUCACUGGCCAGUUUUUUUUUUUGAGAAAUAGAUCA